rnacentral:rRNA from 1 species
CUCUCUGAUUCAGCGGCGGACGGGUGAGUAAUGCCUAGGAAUCUGCCUGAUAGUGGGGGACAACGUUUCGAAAGGAACGCUAAUACCGCAUACGUCCUACGGGAGAAAGCAGGGGACCUUCGGGCCUUGCGCUAUCAGAUGAGCCUAGGUCGGAUUAGCUAGUUGGUGAGGUAACGGCUCACCAAGGCGACGAUCCGUAACUGGUCUGAGAGGAUGAUCAGUCACACUGGAACUGAGACACGGUCCAGACUCCUACGGGAGGCAGCAGUGGGGAAUAUUGGACAAUGGGCGAAAGCCUGAUCUAGCCAUGCCGCGUGUGUGAAGAAGGUCUUCGGAUUGUAAAGCACUUUAAGUUGGGAGGAAGGGCAUUAACCUAAUACGUUAGUGUUUUGACGUUACCGACAGAAUAAGCACCGGCUAACUUCGUGCCAGCAGCCGCGGUAAUACGAAGGGUGCAAGCGUUAAUCGGAAUUACUGGGCGUAAAGCGCGCGUAGGUGGUUUGUUAAGUUGAAUGUGAAAGCCCCGGGCUCAACCUGGGAACUGCAUCCAAAACUGGCAAGCUAGAGUAUGGCAGAGGGUGGUGGAAUUUCCUGUGUGGC